GGCCUCAUCGUCUAGCCUGGUCUAGGACGUUUCCCUCUCACGGAAAAAACACCGGUUCAAAUCCGGUUGGGGCUA
rnacentral:tRNA from 1 species